rnacentral:rRNA from 1 species
UCCGCCAGGGUACUACGAGCACAGCUUAAAACCCAAAGGACUUGGCGGUGCUCAGAUCCACCUAGAGGAGCCUGUUCUAGAACCGAUAACCCCCGUUAAACCUUACCAUCCCUUGUUUACCCCGCCUAUAUACCGCCGUCGUCAGCUUACCCUGUAAAGGACAAACAGUAAGCAAAAUGGGUCAACCCCAAAACGUCAGGUCGAGGUGUAGCGUACGAGAUGGAAAGAAAUGGGCUACAUUUUCUAUUACAGAAUACCACAGAUAGCGUCCUGAAAUAAACGCUUGAAGGCGGAUUUAGC